UACAGAGGGGGCAAGCGUUGUUCGGAAUUACUGGGCGUAAAGGGCGCGUAGGCGGCCUGUUAAGUCGGACGUGAAAUCCCCGGGCUCAACCCGGGAACUGCGUCCGAUACUGGCAGGCUUGAAUCCGGGAGAGGGAUGUGGAAUUCCAGGUGUAGCGGUGAAAUGCGUAGAUAUCUGGAGGAACACCGGUGGCGAAGGCGGCAUCCUGGACCGGCAUUGACGCUGAGGCGCGAAAGCCAGGGGAGCAAACAGG
rnacentral:rRNA from 1 species